rnacentral:pre_miRNA from 1 species
AAGAAUUUCUUUUUCUUCACAAUUAUGAAAGAAAAGAAAUUGUGAAGAAAGAAAUUCUUAC